GUACACGCUGUGACUAGCAUAUCAAUAAGCGGAGGAAAAGAAACUAACAAGGAUUCCCUUAGUAACGGCGAGUGAAGCGGGAAGAGCUCAAAUUUGAAAUCUUCAAGGUUUUACCUUGACGAAUUGUAGGUUUAAAGAAGUGUUUUCUGCUGAAGUUUUGGUAAAAGUUCUUUGGAAUAGGACAUCAUAGAGGGUGAGAAUCCCGUAUUUGACCAUUACUUUUCAGCUUUGUGAUACACUUUCAAAGAGUCGGAUUGUUUGGGAAUGCAGUCCAAAAUGGGUGGUAAAUUUCAUCUAGAGCUAAAUAUUGGCGAGAGACCGAUAGCGAACAAGUACCGUGAGGGAAAGAUGAAAAGGACUUUGAAAAGAGAGUUAAAGUAGUACGUGAAAUUGUCAAAAGGGAAGCGUUUAACACCAGUGUUGUUUUCUCGAAGAUCAACCUCUGUUAGCCUUAUGCAUGUUUGUUUAGUACCUAAUCAGCUAUCUUGCAUGUUCUAUUGUUUGCAGUGGUGCACUUUUCAGUUUACAGGUCAACAUCAGUUUUUUUUACCGUAAAAAAGUUAAAGAAAGGUAGCUCAUGGCUCCGGUCGUGAGUGUUAUAGUCUUUUUCCUAUGCGGUAGGAGAGACUGAGGUCUGCAGUGUAGGCUAUUUGGCUAGAUACUCAGGUGCUAUGUGAUACCAUUUCAUAAACAACUUGUUGAUUAUGUUUUGUCUAUUGCAUACUCGCUUGUACUAUCAUACCUACGCUUAGGAUGUUGAACUACUGAGACAUAGA
rnacentral:rRNA from 1 species